AAGUAGCUUGCUACUUUGCCGGCGAGCGGGGGACGGGUGUAUAAUGUCUGGGAAACUGCCUGAUGGAGGGGGAUAACUACUGGAAACGGUAGCUAAUACCGCAUGAUGUCGCAAGACCAAAGUGGGGGACCUUCGGGCCUCACGCCAUCGGAUGUGCCCAGAUGGGAUUAGCUAGUAGGUGAGGUAAUGGCUCACCUAGGCGACGAUCCCUAGCUGGUCUGAGAGGAUGACCAGCCACACUGGAACUGAGACACGGUCCAGACUCCUACGGGAGGCAGCAGUGGGGAAUAUUGCACAAUGGGCGCAAGCCUGAUGCAGCCAUGCCGCGUGUGUGAAGAAGGCCUUAGGGUUGUAAAGCACUUUCAGCGAGGAGGAAGGCGUUGUAGUUAAUAGCUGCAACGAUUGACGUUACUCGCAGAAGAAGCACCGGCUAACUCCGUGCCAGCAGCCGCGGUAAUACGGAGGGUGCAAGCGUUAAUCGGAAUUACUGGGCGUAAAGCGCACGCAGGCGGUUUGUUAAGUCAGAUGUGAAAUCCCCGAGCUUAACUUGGGAACUGCAUUUGAAACUGGCAAGCUAG
rnacentral:rRNA from 1 species